rnacentral:lncRNA from 1 species
UCUUCUGGGCGCGCGGGCCCAGCUCCCGCUGCGCCAUCAAUGCGGCCCUGUGUGCAGCCCCGCCCCGCCCGCGGGAUCGGGACGCCCCGCCCCGCCCCGCCCCCGCCCGCGGGGAUAAGGAGGCCUCCGCCCUUCCAGCCGCGGAGGAGCUGCAGCCGGAGGUGUCGCGAGCCGCAUCCAGAGCCGCUGACGAGGACCCGGGAUGUCGGAGCUGGAGAAGGCCGUGGUGGCCCUGAUUGACGUCUUCCAUCAGUAUUCUGGGAGGGAGGGGGACAAGCACAAGCUGAAGAAAUCCGAACUCAAGGAGCUCAUCAACAGCGAGCUUUCCCACUUCCUGGAGGAAAUCAAAGAGCAGGAGGUCGUGGACAAAGUCAUGGAGACACUGGACAGCGAUGGAGAUGGCGAGUGUGACUUCCAGGAAUUCAUGGCUUUUGUCGCCAUGGUUACCACUGCCUGCCACGAGUUCUUUGAACACGAGUGAACUGGAGAAAACCGACACGCAGUUCCUGCAGCGGAGACGUGCGCGUCGUGCAGGGCAGUGGAGGCAGGGCUUUGGCAGGACAGUAGGCGCUGAGCUUUCCGGCUGUGUUGUAGCUAAUUAGGAAGCUUGAUUUGCUUUGUGAAUGGAAAAUUUAAACCUCUUUCCAGGGGCAGUUUUUAGUGGCCCCCGUCAUUGCUCCUGCAAUAGUAAGCAUACAGUUAGCUGACUGGUCCCAGGACUGCUGGUAAUCUUCAUUUAGGAAAGUCAGUUCUCGGUCACGAAGCGUGUGCUCUCCUAGCUGUGUAGACCCUUAGCCCAGAAAAAACAAACUGACCAGGAGCAUUGGGGUUUUCUUAAGCUUCCACUACAUUUAAAAAUACGAAGCCUUGUCCACUAUCCUUCGCAAAGGCUGCCCUUCGUUAAAUCUGUUCCUCACUGGGGCAAAUGAGACCUAUCAUGGGAGGGUGGCCUGACCAUCUGUGCCACCCACCCAAAGAGCGCGGCCACAUCUAGAUCCCUUCCCUGCGGUGUGCUGUGAUUGUCGCGCAUGUGAUGCUGCCAGUUCUGGGUGGAACAUCUGCCUCAGAAAGCAAGUGCUGACAUUAUCACUGUGAUUGGAACUGAGAAUGGAAAUUCUACCCUCGGUGGGGUUCUCCUCAGAGGAACACUCGCUGCCAGAUCUGGGGGGGCCACGUGGCUCAGGUGGCACGAGCGGGAGCAGGGGAGCUCAGGUGGGUCUCACGCUGCCUUGGAGACAGCUGUGCCCACCUCCUGCCCAGUCUGUAGAAGGAGGGCUUCCGGAAGAUGUGUCUGGUCCGCUGGAGAAGGUCGUUCCUGACCUGUGGAAUGUGAAGCCAGGGAGCCUAUUUAUGGCCUUUAUGCUUCUGUGUCCACAAAUUCAAAUACAUCAAGUUUCAAAUCAAAUAGUCAAGUUGCAAAUGCUAGAAAUCACUUCCAAGAAAAUUCAAAUUACGCUUUCCACCCUUUUUCUGAUUUGCUGUUUUUAAGGACAGACUUGGGAGAUUCACGAACCAAUUGAUCGCUUGUAUUUGCAUUAAAUAAAAAGCAUUGUAACAAGUCU